rnacentral:rRNA from 1 species
AAAGGUAGCAAAAUCAUUAGUCUUUUAAUUGAGGACUGGUAUGAAAGGUUUGAUGGGAGUUGGCUGUGUCAGGUCUUUGGGGCAGUAAAUAACUAACAUUAUUGAUUUUUAAUAUUUUAAUUAGCUUUAUUAUGAUCCACUAAGUGUGAUAUUUAGAAUAAAUUACCAUAGGGAUAACAGUGCAAUGUUUUUUGAGAGUUAAUAUUGACAAAAAUGUUUGCAACCUCGAUGUUGGAUUAAGGAGUCCAAUUGGUGCAGUAGUUGAUAAAGAAGGUCUGUUCGACCUUUA